AGACGAAGGAUGCAAGCGUUAUCCGGAUUCAUUGGGUUUAAAGGGUGCGUAGGCGGACCUGUAAGUCAGUGGUGAAAUCUCUUUGCUUAACAAAGAAACUGCCAUUGAUACUGCAAGUCUAGAGUAUAGAUGACGUUGGCGGAAUAUGACAUGUAGUGGUGAAAUACUUAGAUAUGUCAUAGAACACCGAUUGCGAAGGCAGCUAAACGAAACUAUAACUGACGCUGAGGCAACGAAAGUGCGGGGAUC
rnacentral:rRNA from 1 species